GUUUUAUCCCGCAAUCCAUGAACCAGUUUAGUAGCCCUCCUUUGAACUCUCUCUAAGGUAUCAAUAUCAUUAUGAAGAUAAGAUCUCCAGUACUGCGUACAAUACUCCAAGUGAGGUCUCUCCAGUUGUCUGUACAAUGGCAUGGGCACUUCCCUCUUUCUACUGCUAAUAUCUCUCCCUAUACAACCUAGCAUUUCCUACUGCUCUAUUACAUUGUCUGCCUACCUUUAAGUCAUCAGAAAUAAUCACCCCUAAAUCCCUUUCCUCAGAUGUUGAGGUUAGGACUCUAUCAAAUAUUCUGUAAUCUUCCCUUGGGUUUUUACGUUUAAGAUGCAUU